rnacentral:rRNA from 1 species
GACGUAGGAUGCGAGCGUUGUCCGGAUUUAUUGGGCGUAAAGAGUUCGUAGGCGGUUCGUUAAGUCUGAUGUUAAAGACUGGGGCUCAACCCUGGGAGUGCAUUGGAUACUGGCGGACUCGAGUGUAGUAGAGGCAAGCGGAAUUCCCAGUGUAGCGGUGAAAUGCGUAGAUAUUGGGAAGAACACCGGUGGCGCAAGCGGCUUGCUGGGCUAUAACUGACGCUGAGGAACGAAAGCUAGGGUAGCGAAUGGG